CAAUGCCCAGAGCAGCCUGGCCUCCUGUGUUCUUUUACUAAGUGGUUAGUUGCCUGUCCAGUAGACUGAAAGCACCUUCUGCCAAGGAAAUGUGAGAAGAGUUGAAAACGUGCUAUUUGGAGACUAUUCUCCUAGUAGACAUCCAGGAGAUCUCCAGAGAUCUAGUUCAUCCUCACUUCUCCACAACUUCAUCAUGAAAAAGAGGAAGCCCAAAGUGAAGUGAGUUAAAACUUUACCUCCAAGAGGAUUGUGGCUUGGCCCUGAGUUGAGGUUUAUACAUAAACACAAUGAAGAAGAUUAACAGGAAAUCUCCCACAAAGAUCGACAAGCAAGAUGACAUCUGUGUCCCAGACUCCAAGGAUCCAGGAGAGCUUCAAAAUAUGUUGAAUGGAGGAGAAUACGCCCCUUUUGUAUCUCCUCCCAUAUUAGAGAGCAAUUUUAUCCAGGUCAACAGAAGAGGUGAAUCCAUUUACCUUCAUAACCGAGCCAACUGGGUGACCGCGGGCAUCUGCGCUUCCAACCCCACCAUCAAGACCCCUAACGUGAUGCUGCUGGCUCACAUGACACCCGCCACCCAGAAAGAUUCAGAACCCCUGUUUAAGAGUCUCCUGACAUCUCCUCCUCCAGAAAAUCUGGUGCUUACCCGGUUUCUCCCUCUGCAGUUUGUGACUCUCUCUGUACAUGAUGCCGAGAAUAUGCGCAUCAAAGUUAAGCUGGUGAGUGGCCGAGCCUACUACCUACAGCUCUGCGCCCCUGCAGGCAAACAAGACUCCCUGUUCCAUCAAUGGGUAGAGCUCAUCUCCCUCUUGAAUGAGGAGAAAGCCAAAGCUUCCAAAGUGUCGGAAGUCUCCAGCCUCUCGGAAAUCACAAACAGCACAGACAUCACAGGCUCAGUGGACAUCAUGGAUAUAGCAGCCUGCCCUGCCAUACAGACCUCACACCUGUCCACGUGUUCAGACCCCAACAACGAUGUAGAAAGCAUUGAUUUCUCGGAAUUCACAGACAUCACUGAUGUUACCGACGUCACGGAUAUUCCAGAAAAUGAGGUUACCGAGGCCCCAGAUAUAAAUAUUGUUACAGAAGUCACGGAAGUCACAGACAUCUGUGAAGUCACAGCAAGCUCAGGGGUCAGAGUGGUGUUUGAAAAUGAUGACAUACUCAGGGCCAAGCAAGAGGAAAAGGAAAAAAUGGAAAACAUUCUGAAGUCUGGCUGUUUACGAGAUACAAAAAGCAAGAAUGAGUUUAAAGAAUCCUCAAAACAUGUCACCAUCUCAAACCUAACACUGACUUUCGAAGGUGAAAGAUGUUUUCAAACUACCUUGAUUCCAGAAGAAGAUGAGACAGACAAAUCCGAAGAGUUGAGUGACAGACCCCCCGAAAUAAAGACAAUGGACUCUGAAAGCACACUUCUCAAGGCUGAAGAACCCAGGAGCGGGAGAACUGAUUCAGACAUUUCAGGCUUGUACAGUUUUUCAAUUUUCCCUCUGAUUAGCAUUUCUUUCCCCCUUGCCACACUCCUCUAAAUCACUUUUUUCCCCUUUCACACUCCCUUACUCACACUUAACACUCUUCACCCCAAGGAAGCAAAGAUUAGUAACCUUGUCCUAUUGAAUUUAGACUGAAUGUAGACUGAAAAUAACUUUGUAAAUCUGAUUUCUAUUUUAGGCAGAAGCCAGAAUAAUAACUGUUCCCACAGAAGUAAAUCAAAUCACUGUUUCUAUUAACUUCAUCAGAUUCACAUUCAACAACUCUUGGGCAAGGCUAGUUGGGGACAGCAGUCUCCAAUUCUCUCUAACCUCUGAGCAGUUUGGAAGAAUUACACUUUUCCUCCUUUUUGAGUAGGGUUUCAGGUAAAGCAGCACUUCAAACAUACUGUUUUUAUGAAAAGUCUAUAAGGUAGGGCCCAGGCUAAACCCAUCUCUUUGGAUCUGGGUCCAUCUCUCUCCUUUCUUGACUUUCCACUUCUUACCUUCCUAAGCUUUAUUCUCUUUAAUUUUGCUGAUUUUCUUUACAAUGAGCCCAAACAGUAGGCUUAUCUAUGAUCCCCUGGCAUUUUUCCAAGAUGGAAAGAAAAGAGACAAAGGACAGAGAUUAAGAAAAGAAGAGAGAGGGAAAUCAUUUAUGAAAUACUGGGAAUGUCCUCCCCUCCCCCACCCAUCUAUCUUUUCCAUUUUCUUCCUAAUUAUGGCAAAUCAAACCCUUGGAAUCCUAAGAAGUAAUGGGAGAAUGCUAAAAGGGAAACUGAAAUUUAACAAUGGGCUCCACUGGAAAGAAUGAAGACAUUUUUUAUGAGGUUAGAAAAUCAUUUGAAUUUAAGACUCAGGUUCUCUUUCUGUGACUUUCUUCUCUCUGGUUUUUGGCCUUUUUCUUUCUUUCUCACUUCCUCUUUCUAAUAAUCUCACUUCCACUUUGCUGAACUAUUUUCUGGCUCUCUGCUCUCCUGUCAAAUCCUCUCUAAAUUCCUCAAUCUCGUGCCUCAUCUGUCCUCCCUUUCUCAGGGGAAUGGAUGUGAGGAAAGGAAAGUAAAACAGGAAAAGAAAAGGCCAAUGGAAAAAACAAAUAAGACAACUUAAAGAUAAAUGUAAACUAAUAAAUUAAAAGCAAGCACAGCUCAAGAAAUAACAAUUGAAGGAAAGGAAAACAAAGCAGCAUCUUUCAUGUGGCAGAAAUAAAGGCUACUACUAAUCAUUAA